CAGUCGCCGCGGGAAUACGUAGGUGGCAAGCGUUGUCCGGAAUUAUUGGGCGUAAAGCGUGCGUAGGUGGUGGUUUAAGUCCGUUGUGAAAGCCCUGGGCUCAACCUGGGAAUUGCAGUGGAUACUGGAUCACUAGAGUGUGGUAGAGGAUAGUGGAAUUUCCGGUGUAGCAGUGAAAUGCGUAGAGAUCGGAAGGAACAUCUGUGGCGAAGGCGACUAUCUGGGCCAACACUGACACUGAGGCACGAAAGCGUGGGGAGCAAACAGGAUUAGAUACCCGCGUAGUCCCUGUCUCUUAUAC
rnacentral:rRNA from 1 species